rnacentral:rRNA from 1 species
CAUAUAUUCCAGCGCUUGUAUUAGUUUCGAUGGAGUGACGGGGAAGUGAAAGGUCCGCGAUCUUACGGAAUAGAUCGUUAAAGGGUGUAGUUAUAUCUUUGGUAGGCAAAUCCGCCGAGGAUGAUGAACCUGAUAGUACUCAAAGCUUUCGGGCAGCGAGAUAGUGACCCUAAACAUGCUCACGAGAAAAACUUCUAAGGUUAGGCUAAUACAACCCGUACCGUAAACCGACACAGGUAGUCGAGAUGAGUAUUCUAAGGCGCUCGGGUGAGCCGUGGAGAAGGAACUAGGCAAAUUAACGCUGUAACUUCGGGAUAAAGCGUACCACAGCGAUGUGGUCACAGUAAAAUGGUUCAACCAACUGUUUAGCAAAAACACAGGGCCCUGCAAAAUCGAAAGAUGACGUAUAGAGCCUGAUACCUGCCCGGUGCCGGAAGGUUAAGGAAGCUUGUCAGCCGCAAGGUGAAGCUUGCGACCGAAGCCCCGGUAAACGGCGGCCGUAACAAUAACGGUCCUAAGGUAGCGAAAUUCCUUGUCGGGUAAGUUCCGACCUGCACGAAUGGUCUAAUGAGUUGAACACUGUCUCCUCCACGAGCCCGGUGAAAUUGUAGUAUCGGUGAAGAUGCCGGUUACCCGCCACGGGACGAAAAGACCCCGUGAACCUUCACUACAACUUUACAUUGAUUUUGAGUAACAGAUGUGUAGCAUAGUUGGGAGACUUUGAAGCAUGUACGCCAGUAUGUGUGGAGUCAACGUUGAAAUACCAACCUUCUGUUACUUAGAGUCUAAUCCGUGCAAGCGGAGACAUUGUAUGGUGGGUAGUUUGACUGGGGUGGUCGCCUCCUAAAGAGUAACGGAGGCUCGCAAAGGUUCCCUCAGUACGGUUGGUAAUCGUACGAAGAGCGCAUUAGUAGAAGGGAGCUUGACUGUGAGGCUUACCAGCCGAGCAGGUGCGAAAGCAGGCUAAAGUGAUCCGGUGGUUUCCGUAUGGAAGGGCCAUCGCUCAAAGGAUAAAAGGUACUCCGGGAUAACAGGCUGAUCUCCCCCAAGAGCUCAUAUCGACGGGGAGGUUUGGCACCUCGAUGUCGGUUCGUCACAUCCUGGGGCUGGAGAAGGUCCCAAGGGUUCGGCUGUUCGCCGAUUAAAGUGGCACGUGAACUGGGUUCAGAACGUCGCAAGACAGUUCGGUCUCUAUCUGUGGUGGGCGUUAGUAAAUUGCGUGGACAUGACCUUAGUACGAGAGGACCGGGUCGUAUAUACCGCUGGUGUAUCUGUUGUGCCGCCAGGUGCAGUGCAGAGUAGCUAUGUAUAGCCAGGAUAAGCGCUGAAAGCAUCUAAGCGCGAAACCUUCCACAAGAUGAGUUUACUUUUAAGGGCCGUCAGAGACUAUGACGUUGAUAGGCUGCAGGUGUAAAGGUGGUAACAUCAAAGCCGAGCAGUACUAAUUGCCCGUAAGCUUUAAUCU